GCACAGCAGAUCAAUGAUGUUUAAUGGAGCUUUUGAGGUUUUUCCUUUAAAUAAUUUAAUAACCAAAUCACUUUUUAUUUCAAGUGACAUUUCCUGAGUUAAUUCAGACUAUAAAAGAACCAUGAACAGACCAUAAACACCAUCAUCUACUGCUGAGCAACAUCUUUAGUCCUACCACUGUGAUUUUCAUCAAGAUUACCAACAUCUUCAGAUCUAUUAGUGGAUUAACAAUUUCAGCACAUCAUCUGACAAAUCAACUCUCCAUUUGAAGUCUAAAGUUAAUUUAGAUUAAUAAUAUUGUGAGUAUCAAGAUCAACUUAUAAACACCAUCAAUCUGAUAAAUUGAUAAACAACAUCUUCAGUUGUGUAAGUGGAUUCACAGUGCUGACUGUCAAGAGUUUGAGACCAUGACACAACACAACAUCAGCAUCACACAAUCAGGUUGGAUACCCAAGGAUUUUGGGGCAUUUCAUCUGGCAUACAGGCAGAAUUUGAAAAAUCAUGAUUUUGCAGAACAAAUAUUUAUCUGGACUCUUUCAGUCAUUGAAGUUCCAGUCAUGCUCUUAACUCUGCUUGCAUUGUGUUUUCUCAUCAAGUCUCGGCAUGUUGCUUCAGUUUAUGUGAUUCAUUUGAUUCUUUCAGAUCUCAUACAAAUUAUUUGUAAGAUAUCGAAUACAAUCCAAGAUAACUCUGUGGUGUCAAAUGCAUAUGUUUAUUCUUUAAUUGCUAGUCUGUAUUUUAUGGCAUGUAUUGCUCUUGAGCGAUAUCUUUUGGUUUGCCAUCCACUCUGGUACAGAAAUCAUCAUUCAUUAAAACUCUCCUGUUUGAUUUCUAUGAUCAUCUGGUUUGUGCCUCUGAUGUUUGCUGACAUACAUCAUGAUGUGUAUUUUGGUCUUCUGCUUCAAGCUAUAGCAUUUUUGAUCCCCUACCCAAUAAUCAUUCUCUGUUUUGUUGGUACUUGGAGGGGUCUUUCUCGCUCAUUAUCAAUCACUUCUCAAAAGCGCAGCUUAAUUUUAGGCAGCUUGUUUCUGGUGCUGCUGUCUUACACAUUUGUCAUUCUCCCUCAUCCAAUUGUGAAUUUUUUUAGAACCUUUCCUGCCAAGAAUUCUUCAACAACAAUCAAUUUAACAGUUCAGAAAAUCUAUUUGUUUCUAGACUGUCUCCUGUAUCUGAACCCUCUUGCUGACUGUUUAUUGUAUUUGUUCAUGAGAAGUGAUGUUGGUGACAUAAUGAAGUCUCUUCCGUGCUGUUGUAAAUCUGACUCACAUCAGAAUUCAGUACGAUACACAACCGGAACAAAUGCUUAGCAGUUU